rnacentral:rRNA from 1 species
GAUAAACGCUAGCGGCAGGCUUAACACAUGCAAGUCGAGGGGCAGCAUAGAUUGUAGCAAUAUAAUUGGUGGCGACCGGCGCACGGGUGCGUAACGCGUAUGCAACCUACCCGUCACAGGGGGAUAAUCCGGAGAAAUCUGGUCUAAUACCCCAUAACAUAUGGAUCGGCAUCGGUUCAUGUUGAAAUUUUCGGAGGUGACGGAUGGGCAUGCGUAGCAUUAGCUUGUUGGUGAGGUAACGGCUCACCAAGGCGACGAUGCUUAGGGGGACUGAGAGGUUUUCCCCCCACACGGGGACUGAGACACGGACCGGACUCCUACGGGAGGCAGCAGUGAGGAAUAUUGGUCAAUGGGCGCAAGCCUGAACCAGCCAUGCCGCGUGCAGGAUGACGGCUCUAUGAGUUGUAAACUGCUUUUGUACGAGGGUAAAGUGGGUUACGUGUAACCUUUUGAAAGUAUCGUACGAAUAAGGAUCGGCUAACUCCGUGCCAGCCGCCGCCGUAA